rnacentral:lncRNA from 1 species
GGCCCUUCCUUCUCACCCUGCCCGGGUUCUCCCGCAGGUGGGAGCCUUCUGCGGCUUCUGGAAGCACUGACAGCUGCAGAGGCUACAACCUUUCCCACGUCCAUUCAAUCUCUCAUUGGUGCGCUCAGUAAAUAUUUAUACGGAGCACCUGUCCUGUGUCGGUAGCGGCGCCGCGCUGCGGGCGGGACAAGCAGCCCUGAACAAGCACCCACCACGGGGUCCUGCGCACGUGGCCAGGAUGGAAGGCUGGAGGAACGCGGUGGUCACCCAGGACCCACCCAGCUCGCGGGGCUCUGCCGCAGCAUGAUCGCGUGUGGGUCUCCCAGGAGCCCUGUGAGCUGAGACGGAAAGAAGGAAGGACGGCAGGAAGGGAAGCUUCUCUGCAUCUGGCUCCAGCUGUCCUCUUUCACAUGUGCUGUCUGCUUAAACUUCCGGACGCCGCGCGGUAAGGAGGUAUCUUCGCCUCCGCUUGCACAGAGAAGCAAGCCCCGGCCCAGAUGACGGCAGAGGAGGGACUGACACAAGGUGUCAUCAACACAACAGCAUCCUCAUCUCCAGGCGCUGUCCUUGGAGCAGCCUCCGGGAGCAGGCAAGGGCCAUCUUGCAGCAAACCUUCCCCCUGCUGAAUGAAGCCCAUUGCCGGGGCCUCUGGUCCUGCCAAGGAAAGAGCUGGUUUACAUCUCCCUGACUGGACCCCGAGCACCUGGAGGACAGAGACUGUGUCUCAUUUGGCAUUUAUUGUGUGCAGCACACGGCACAGGAACACGACAGAGAUUUCAGAAGACAAGUUUGUUGGUGGUGUGGAUUUUUUCUCUGCCUGUGAGUGCUUUGCAUGGUAAGGAGCAGGAAUAAGACUGGAAGAAAUCAUGACUAGACAUACCCAGAAAAGUGCAUUCCGGAAGGAGAACUCCCUUGCUUGAGAGCGUUGGCAAUCCUAAAUAAACAAAAAUGCAACAUUUAGAAACAGCUCAUCUGGUGUUUCACGUCUCAUCUGCUGCCCAGUUGGUCUGAGAAUGUGGCCCAAAAGAUGGCUUAGAUGAUCUAUGACCAAGUGAUCCAACCCCGGACAAAAGAUUCAUUAAUUUGCUACAGAGAAAAUGUGGCCCACAGAGUCAAAAUUUAAAAAAAAAAAAAAAAAAAAUUUUAAAGUUCUGUUUUCAAUUUGGAAUUUGAGCUAUCCUGACAUUGGCCCAAGUGUGGUGGAAAGGCAAGUCUUUUAUAUCCUUGAGUUGUUUUGACAUAGCCAGGGACACUUGGAGGAUAAGAUUCAACAAAUGUGGGCGCCUGGGUGGCUCAGUGGGUUAAGCUGCUGCCUUCGGCUCAGGUCAUGAUCUCAGGGUCCUGGGAUCGAGUCNNNNNNN